rnacentral:rRNA from 1 species
UACGGGGGGGCAAGCGUUGUUCGGAAUUACUGGGCGUAAAGGGCUCGUAGGCGGCCAACUAAGUCAGACGUGAAAUCCCUCGGCUUAACCGGGGAACUGCGUCUGAUACUGGAUGGCUUGAGGUUGGGAGAGGGAUGCGGAAUUCCAGGUGUAGCGGUGAAAUGCGUAGAUAUCAGGAGGAACACCUGCGGUGUAGACGGCUUUCUGGACCAUUGUUGACGCUGAGACACGAAAGCGUGGGUAGCAAACAGG